rnacentral:rRNA from 1 species
GACAGAGGGUGCAAACGUUGCUCGGAAUCACUGGGCGUAAAGGGCGUGUAGGCGGGCAGGUAAGUCGGGCGUGAAAUCCCUGGGCUCAACCCAGGAACUGCACUCGAAACUACUUGUCUUGAGUGUCGGAGAGGAAAGCGGAAUUCCUGGUGUAGAGGUGAAAUUCGUAGAUAUCGAGAGGAACACCGGUGGCGAAGGCGGCCAACUGGACAGAUACUGACGGCUGAG